UAGGGAAUCUUCCGCAAUGGACGAAAGUCUGACGGAGCAACGCCGCGUGAGUGAUGAAGGUUUUCGGAUCGUAAAACUCUGUUGUUAGGGAAGAACAAGUACCGGAGUAACUGCCGGUACCUUGACGGUACCUAACCAGAAAGCCACGGCUAACUACGUG
rnacentral:rRNA from 2 species